AUUGAACGCUGGCGGCAUGCCUUACACAUGCAAGUCGAACGGCAGCGGGGGAGAAGCUUGCUUUUCCUGCCGGCGAGUGGCGAACGGGUGAGUAAUACAUCGGAACGUGCCCUGUAGUGGGGGAUAACUAGUCGAAAGAUUAGCUAAUACCGCAUACGACCUGAGGGUGAAAGUGGGGGACCGCAAGGCCUCAUGCUAUAGGAGCGGCCGAUGUCUGAUUAGCUAGUUGGUGGGGUAAAGGCCUACCGAGGCGACGAUCAGUAGCUGGUCUGGGAGGACGAUCAGCCACACUGGGACUGAGACACGGCCCAGACUCCUACGGGAGGCAGCAGUGGGGAAUUUUGGACAAUGGGCGAAAGCCUGAUCCAGCAAUGCCGCGUGUGUGAAGAAGGCCUUCGGGUUGUAAAGCACUUUUGUCCGGAAAGAAAUGGCUCUGGUUAAUACCUGGGGUCGAUGACGGUACCGGAAGAAUAAGGACCGGCUAACUACGUGCCAGCCGCCGCCGUAA
rnacentral:rRNA from 1 species